GUGCUCGCUUCAGCAGCACAUAUACUAACAUUGAAACGAUACAGAAAUUAGCAUGGGCCCUGCACAAAGAUGACACGCAAAUUCGUGAAGUAUUCCAUAUUUUU
rnacentral:snRNA from 1 species